rnacentral:lncRNA from 1 species
NNNNNNNNNNNNNNNNNNNNNNNNNNNNCACGCGCGCACACAUUGGGUCUCCAGGCGGCGGCCGUGGCCGCAUCCCCGGCAGCAGCUCCGGGCAAAGUGACAGGUAGGAGAAGGCAUUUCGGGUCCCGCCCGAGGAUGCUCCCGCCCGCCCCGGCCCGCGGGGUUUGUUUGUUCCCAGCGGGUGCGUCCCGGACGCGUGCGCGCGCACCCGGAUGCCCUGCCUGGGAGCCGGUGCAGGUGCGGGGUGCUAGGCGCCGCGCGCGCGGGAGGCAGGGGUCCGCGCGCCACCCCCUCCCCUGUAAUCAUCGCCUACUGGGUUUCCUCCGACUCCGUCCAGACGUUAACCGCUUCUGGCUAGAAAUAGCUCGGCUCGACGUGUAUAUGAUUAUUUUGGUUGGAAAUAGUUGGCACCGUGCAAAGCAUGUAAAUGUGUAUGCAUGUGGAUCUUCUUACCUCUUCUGGGGAGGUCAUCCAGAGGAAAGAGACCGCAGACCAUUAGAUUUAUACCUGACAUCUCAUGCUGCCCUUUGGAGCAAGAGUCCUUCAUCUCGGGUCCACCCUAUAAUGGUCUGAGGAUGGAAUUUGGUGGGUUGGUGAAUUUAGCUGGCAAAUGAAUUACGUCUUUAUUUGCAUUCGCUUCCAAAUGAUGAUUAGGCUAAGUAUUAUUGUCACUCUGGAUCUUGGCUUUAAUGGGUUGAAAAAGAAACACAUGCAUUACUAGGUAUGCCCAGAUUUAAAAAAAAAUUUUUUUUGAUAAGUAUAUUCCAAUAUCCGUUGUUUUCCUUUGUGCUUCAUUUUACACAUUUAAAAAUAUUACAUUCAUAGGGUCUAUAUCAUUCCCCAGAUUUGGCAGAGGGUGGGCUUUGUGACCCACUGAAGGUAAAGGACAACUGCUCUAGAAACACUUUGUCUUAGAUGCAGCUGGGGUCUAAGUGGGGGGGCUGCCUCGUGGGUUUGCUUUCAGCAGGUGCAAAGUUGCUAAGACCCUUGGGUGUUGGAAUCAGGCAGACCUGAGUUUGAAUCUCAACGAUGUCCUGUAUUAACUGUGUGAUCCUGGACACCUACCCACUUGCCCCAUCUGUAAAAUGAGGAGAAUAACCCCAUAGGGCAAAAGUGCACAGCACACUGUACUGUGUCUCAUGCUGGGUACUGUAUUUCUGUUGCUUUUGCUACAGACAAGAUUAGUCUUUCUCCUCAUAUGCUAGUAUUACCGCUCACUCUCUCCUUCUCUGGAGGGGCAGAUGCCAUUGACGUAGCCAUACAAAGUAGGCUGAGUCAGUUUCUAUAAAACUUAUAACAGAGGUUCCUUGGCUGGCUCAGUUGGUUAAGUGUCUGCCUUUGGCUCAGGUCAUGAUUUCCAGGUCCUGGGAUCCGGCCCCAGGACAGGCUCCCUGCUCAGCAGGGAGAGUCUGCAUCUCUCUCUCCCUUCACCUACCCCCCUCCCCAAACCUGCUCAUGGUGUGUAC